rnacentral:rRNA from 1 species
GAUGAACGCUGGCGGCGUGCUUAACACAUGCAAGUCGAACGGUGAAGGCGGAGCUUGCUCUGCUGGAUCAGUGGCGAACGGGUAAGUAACACGUGAGCAAUCUGCCCCUGACUCUGGGAUAAGCGCUGGAAACGGCGUCUAAUACUGGAUACGAGCUGCGAAGGCAUCUUCAGCAGCUGGAAAGAAUUUCGGUCAGGGAUGAGCUCGCGGCCUAUCAGCUUGUUGGUGAGGUAAUGGCUCACCAAGGCGUCGACGGGUAGCCGGCCUGAGAGGGUGACCGGCCACACUGGGACUGAGACACGGCCCAGACUCCUACGGGAGGCAGCAGUGGGGAAUAUUGCACAAUGGGCGAAAGCCUGAUGCAGCAACGCCGCGUGAGGGACGACGGCCUUCGGGUUGUAAACCUCUUUUAGCAGGGAAGAGGCGAAAGUGACGGUACCUGCAGAAAAAGCGCCGGCUAACUACGUG